rnacentral:rRNA from 1 species
UACGUAGGGUGCGAGCGUUGUCCGGAAUUAUUGGGCGUAAAGGGCUCGUAGGCGGUCUGUUGCGUCGGGAGUGAAAACUCAGGGCUUAACCCCGGGCCUGCAGUGGGUACGGGCAGACUAGAGUGCGGUAGGGGAGACUGGAAUUCCUGGUGUAGCGGUGAAAUGCGCAGAUAUCAGGAGGAACACCGGUGGCGAAGGCGGGUCUCUGGGCCGUAACUGACGCUGAGGAGCGAAAGCGUGGGGAGCGAACAGG